GCCUUCGUGGUGUAGUGGUCAGCAUGCUCGACAUGCAAGCGAGAGAUCCGUGGUUCGAUUCUCGGCCAAGGCA
rnacentral:tRNA from 1 species